GACGAACGCUGGCGGCGUGCCUAAUACAUGCAAGUAGGACGGAGUUGCGAGCGGAGGAGUAACGAACAGGUGACUACCUAUUAAUGGGGGUGAACUAGUCGAAACGAAAGCUAAUACCGAAUACUAGUAGAUGGACCUGCGAUGUAUUGGCUAGUAGGUAGGGUAAUGGCCUACCUAUGGACAGAUACAUAACGGACCUGAGAGGGGGAUCGGCCACACAGGGACGGAGGCACGGACCAGACUCCUGCGGGAGGCACACGUCCGGAAUCCUCGGCAAAGGGGGGAAACCUGACCGAACCACGAUGCGUGAGAGAAGGAGGUUGUCGGGUCGUAAAGAUCUGUUGUGAAGGAAUCGGUACCAAACCAGAAAGGCCCGGCUAAAUACGUGCCAGCAGCCGCGGUAAUUC
rnacentral:rRNA from 1 species